AUUCAGCUGAUGAGUCCGAAAUAGGACGAAAUGCAUGUUCUGGAU
rnacentral:hammerhead_ribozyme from 1 species